rnacentral:misc_RNA from 1 species
UUAAGUUCAGCGGGUAGUCUCACCCGAUUUGAGGUCAAGGUCGCUGUGUUCGAGUCACGCGAUGCAACUCGAACAUCGUCUUUGUUCAAAGACCGUUUGAAGCGGGUUCGUUCAAAACCCAAGACGUAGAAGCAUACUUAUCACGUCAAGGAUCGGCAAAGCGAGCCCCACUAAUUCAUUUAGGAGGAGCUGGCUUCAAA